rnacentral:lncRNA from 1 species
AUUGAUGAUUUUUUAUGAUCUAAGUUUGCAAUAAAGUUUCACAUUGAUAGACUUUUUGAUGAUUUUUAACUCCAUCGUUGUGAUGAGUCAAAAGAUUAUAUACGAUCCAUCUUUGAGUUACUUUUUUUUGUGGUACUAUUUCUGUACUUUUUUCAAACAAUUUUUUUUUAUAUAAAACCAGGAUGAAGAAGAAAUAACAUGGUUUUCUUUAUCGAUUAGGAUUGCUUAUUAUGGAGUAUUAUGGCUUAAUAGAAACCUUCCAUAAAUCUUUUAAAAAAAAAACCUUCCAUAAAUAAAGGAGGGAUUUUUUUUUUGACGAAAAUAAAGGGGGGUUUAAUUAAAUGUCUGUGAUUUAUUUUUCUUAUAAGUUAUGAGAUAAAAUUUGGCCAUUAGAUCAAAUAGAAUAAAUGGAUAGGAUUAAUUUGACACCUGGUGUCAACGGAUCUUAACUCAUAUAUAAAAGACACCCAUAAAAGUGUUUGUUAGCAUCAAACACCCAUACUAAAAGACAAAAAUAAUCAAAGUAAAAGUGGAUAGGUGUAUUUUAGCAUCAAACACCCAUAAUAAAAGACAAAAAAAAUUAAUUUUCCCACCUAUAAGAAAAUCUCUCAAUUUUUUUACUCAAUCAUAUUUUUUUUUGAACAUCAAAUUUUAUUAACAAACCUCAAGCCAUGGCAUAAGUUAUGCCAAGGGAGGUGGAUAAAAGUUAAUAUAAGAGAGCUACGAAAACUAGCCCAAAAAGCUAUCAACAAAGACUACAAAACACCAAAGGCCAAUAAAGAAAACACCACAAAACAGAAUUGCGAGCAAAAGUCCAAACCCCCAUCACCAAAUUAUCUAUUUUCAUUUUAUAUUGUUAGAGAUCCAGCGGCAAUGAGACGAAAGGAAAAGAAAGGAACUUUUUUGGGUUAUGGGUUGUUUUGAUUAUAUUUUUUUUAAGCAGUUUUGAUUUAUUUUAUAAAAUUUAAUAAGGGAAUGAAAUAAUGAGAAGCGCACGUGGCAAAAUUUGGUAAAUCAGAUUAAUCGGACGGAUGAAACUGGUCCAAAGACAGCCAUUUUUUCCCGCAAAAAUGUCAAGUAGCGGCAAAUAAAAAAGGGAAUUUUACUUUUACUUUGAGUUUUUUUUUGUUUUUUAGUAUGAGUGUUUGAUGCUAACAAACACCUUCAUGGGUGUCUUACUCUUAUGUAAAUAUACCCUUUAGUCCAUUUUAACAUAAAUAAACAUUUUUGUGAUAACAAUUAACGUUAAACAACUAUUUUAUGUCAAAAACUAUUUGCAUCAGAAAUUUGAUUAUAUUAAAAUGAAACUUUCAUUAAAAAAGAGAAAUUUUGCACGGGGUAAAUAAGCAUUUACCUUAAAAAAAAAACUUUAAGAGGUACCAAAUUGUUAUAACUUUUCAAUGAGGUUCUAUUUCCAAAUAAAGAUAAUAUAAAAAAGCUACCAAACUAAGUUCAAUUACCCUUCAAAGUAAGUUACAUUUACCAAAAAAUUGUAUAGACUAGGUAGCACUUCUAUAUAUGGGUGGACAACGGGCCGGGUUGGUCAGGUUCGGGCCCAAAACCUUCACCCGGCCCAAUUCAUGGGUGACUAAAUACAGUCCAUACCGAACCAUUUCUGGACCUCGGUUUAAACAGAUUCGGUUCAACGGGACGCGAGUAAAGUUGGUUGAGUUCUUACGGGUUGGGCCAAUAGUAAAAAAUUUUUGCAAUAUCUUCUUCACAUCAUCUUUAUGCACAACAAAGAAGAAAAAUUCUAGAUUUAACAAAUACAAAUCAAACAGAUCCAGAUCUAACAGAAUCAAAUUUGUAAAUAACAAAAAAAGUAAACAAAAAUUAGAAGUAUAUCUCAAAUAGAGGUAGAGACAAACAAGGUUGUUGAGAGAUACUACUCAAUGUUUGUGCAACACAUGAUCGUUUCAGAUGUUGUGCAGUUAAAUAAAAAUGGAGAAGAGAGUAGAGUUCAACAAGAGAGAAGAGAAACUUUGUUGUUCUCUAUGUAAAAGAAGGAGAAAUGAGAAGCAGAGAGAAUGUAAAGUUAGUGUAAUAAAUUUACCAAUAGCUAUGAUUAUCUUUUACUAGUUUCUAGUAACUAGUAGUAGUAGCUUUUUUCUUGAAAGGAGUUCUAAGUACUAUUAAAUGCAUUAAAAUAUUUCAUUACAAAAGCUGUAAAGGUAUGAAAAU